GACGAACGCUGGCGGCGUGCUUAACACAUGCAAGUCGAAUGGAAAGGCCCUGCUUUUGUGGGGUGCUCGAGUGGCGAACGGGUGAGUAACACGUGAGUAACCUGCCCUUGACUUUGGGAUAACUUCAGGAAACUGGGGCUAAUACCGGAUAGGAGCUCCUGCUGCAUGGUGGGGGUUGGAAAGUUUCGGCGGUUGGGGAUGGACUCGCGGCUUAUCAGCUUGUUGGUGGGGUAGUGGCUUACCAAGGCUUUGACGGGUAGCCGGCCUGAGAGGGUGACCGGCCACAUUGGGACUGAGAUACGGCCCAGACUCCUACGGGAGGCAGCAGUGGGGAAUAUUGCACAAUGGGCGGAAGCCUGAUGCAGCAACGCCGCGUGCGGGAUGACGGCCUUCGGGUUGUAAACCGCUUUCGCCUGUGACGAAGCGUGAGUGACGGUAAUGGGUAAAGAAGCACCGGCUAAGUACGUG
rnacentral:rRNA from 1 species